CCCCCUCCCCCCUUCCCGCUCUGGAAUUUGUGCCAAUUUGUAAUCCGUGCGAGUGAGUCUGUGCCUCACCAUGCCUAGCUGGAGCUGGUAAUUAGGUGCGGUGGUGGCUCCUGCCUUUGCCCUCUGAUGACUUUUCUUUAAUUGCUCUAAUCUGUGUUUUCACGCACUCGCUGGAAAAUGAGAAGAGCCGCCAGCUCCACGGAGGAGGGGAGGUUUCAUGUCCUCUGUGAUUGCAGCCCUCGGCUCCAGCAUUGGAAGCACAGCAGAAAAUCAGAUUUUUGGUCUGGAUCCAAAACAGAAAUAUGACACCCCAUAUACGGUCAGUGUGUAUGUGUUUCUCUAAAAGAAUCACUUAACCUAAUUUUCUGAGCAUCAACUCCAAAUGCCAUGUAGACCAAGUGGAAAAAAAAAAAAAUUCACCCAAGUACAAAGGGGAGCUCUUGCUCUUCACCUUAAACAGCCCAUGAAGCUUUUUAGCAAUUGACGGGUUCCUCUCCCUCUCGCUGCUCUGUUCUCUAAGCCCGCAGGAAGGAAGAUCGCCUGAAAAAAUGUCCUUGUGGUGUUAGGGCGAGGACGGUGGGGUCAUGGGGAUGUGAGCCUCGGCUGACAACUCAGGAAAAAGGGACACUUUUCGGUGGCCUCUGAGGACCGCUCCCAGGCACUGCUGAAGAUCACAGGGUCUGGGAUAGGGUAGGGGUCCAGGCAGCUGCAAACGCCUGCACAUCAUCUGGUGCUGAGGCUCCCGGGAUGCUUCUGCUCCUGCUGUUCUCCCCAUCCUCACACCACUCCACUCAAUUAUCCCAGCAGGGGACUGGGGGGGCACCUUGACUCAAAUUUCACCGAGACUAUUCAUGGUGGCGAGGAGAGAGGAAAUUAGGGGGCUGGUGGGAAGGAGGGAGAGAUGCUGGGUUCCCAGACACCCCUCUAAUAUUCACUUUA
rnacentral:lncRNA from 1 species